UAGUCUAAUAUCACAAUAUCAUCGAAUGAUUUUGACAUUAAAUAUUUAAUUUUGUUAAGUUUCCUGGACUUCCAAUAUAAAACUAAUUGGCUAUAAAUGGAGAAAUUCAAGUCCCUUAUAUACUAGUGUUGGUCUCUUUAAACUUACGAUGUGGGAUUCUAACAAAUUUCUUCUAAAUUGGGAUUUAAUUAGUUAUAGUGAUUCCUCUUAUACCUAACUCGUACAUUACGAAUCUCCAGAUUCUGAACUGAUCUAACAUGCAAAUCAACCUAAAUCCUUCAAAUACGAUACAGAGAGAGAGAGAUUUUUGGAUCGUUACCAUGGCGGAGAAAAGCUGACCACCGAGCCACGCGCCACCUCCGGGACUAACGGAUUGUUCAAUGAUCGCGACCUGAACGUUAGGGUUCUUACUGAUCUCGUAAGCACAGGAUAAUCCGGCGGAUCCAGCACCGACAACGACGACGUCGGUCUCGGCGUAAGUGAUCAUAUCAGUCAUGUACCGCCUGGUCAUCUCACGAGAGACGAUCGAUUCCUUUAUGGGAUCGAAAGUGAAGGCGUUUAGAUCGUAGCCAGAAGUGGCGCGAACGGAAAGAGAGGCAGAUCGUGGUUUGAGACCGACGGAGAUAGGUGCGGCCGAGAUUGAUGAGCCAUGGAAGGAGGAGUCGAAAAGCCUUUGAGGCUUGGUGGAAGAGAGAGAGAGAGUGGAAGUAAUGGCCGCCAUUUGAGAGAAAGAGGAAGGUUUUAGUUUCAGGUAUUAGUGAUGAUGAUG
rnacentral:lncRNA from 1 species